AUUGAACGCUGGCGGCAGGCCUAACACAUGCAAGUCGAGCGAGCGGCGGACGGGUGAGUAAUGUAUGGGGACUGCCCGAUAGAGGGGGAUAAACACGGGAAACGGUAGCUAAUACCGAAUACUAUGGGAUAACCCAUAUGGGAUUAGCUAGUAGGUGAGGUAAUGGCUCACCUAGGCGACGAUCACUAGCUGGUCUGAGAGGAUGUUCAGCACCACGGGGACUGGGACACGGCCCAGACUCCUACGGAGCCAGCAGUGGGGAAUAUUGCACAAUGGGCGCAAGCCUGAUGCAGCCAUGCCGCGUGUAUGAUGAAGGCCCUAGGGUUGUAAAGUACUUUCAGUCGGGAGACGUUACCGACAGAAGAAGCACCGGCUAACUCCGUGCCAGCAGCCGCGGUAAUAC
rnacentral:rRNA from 1 species